AUGAACGCUGGCGGCGUGCCUAAUACAUGCAAGUCGAGCGAACAGAUGAGGAGCUUGCUCCCCUGACGUUCGCGGCGGACGGGUGAGUAACACGUGGAUAACCUACCUAUAAGACUGGGAUAACUUCGGGAAACCGGAGCUAAUACCGGAUAAUAUAUUGAACCGCAUGGUUCAAUAGUGAAAGACGGUUUUGCUGUCACUUAUAGAUGGAUCCGCGCCGCAUUAGCUAGUUGGUAAGGUAACGGCUUACCAAGGCAACGAUGCGUAGCCGACCUGAGAGGGUGAUCGGCCACACUGGAACUGAGACACGGUCCAGACUCCUACGGGAGGCAGCAGUAGGGAAUCUUCCGCAAUGGGCGAAAGCCUGACGGAGCAACGCCGCGUGAGUGAUGAAGGUCUUCGGAUCGUAAAACUCUGUUAUUAGGGAAGAACAAAUGUGUAAGUAACUAUGCACGUCUUGACGGUACCUAAUCAGAAAGCCACGGCUAACUACGUG
rnacentral:rRNA from 1 species